rnacentral:rRNA from 1 species
AACGAACGCUGGCGGCAUGCCUAACACAUGCAAGUCGAACGAGACCUUCGGGUCUAGUUGCGCACGGGUGCGUAACGCGUGGGAACCUGCCCUUAGGUUCGGAAUAACUCCCCGAAAGGGGUGCUAAUACCGGUUAAUGUCUUCGGACCAAAGAUUUAUCGCCUUUGGUGGGGCCCGCGUUGGAUUAGAUAGUUGGUAGGUUAAAAGCCUACCAAGGCUAGUAUCCAUAGAUGGUCUGAGAGGAUGAUCAGCCACACUGGGACUGAGACACGGCCCAGACUCGUACGGGAGGAAGCAGUGGGGAAUAUUGGAAAAUGGGCGAAAGCAUGAAACAGUAAUGCCGGGUGAGUGAUGAAGGCGUUAGGGUUGUAAAGCUCUUUUAACCGGGAUGAUAAUGACAGUACCGGGAGAAUAAGCUCCGGCUAACUCCGUG